GCCUCGUCUACACUGCACCUGUCAUUCCUCGGCAUUAAGCAUGCGAGGAAAGGAGCCAGAAGAGCGUUAGUGGAAUGGAUGCGGGCAAUGUGCCCAGCAUGUCAGCAGGGUGGCCUCCACUGUGGUCUAGUAGGAUACGACUACUCCUGAGGAAGCGUCACAGCCUCCACUUUGCAGGAAAGGACUGAUCUAUGUAAAAGCCUUGCAGCCUCAGACCCAGAGCAAGCCGUCAUUUAGUUCAGACUCUUGCACACCCCCACCUGUCACAUGUAACAAAACAAGAACAGUACAAAACACCAAGCUUCAGACCCUUUCAGCUGGGCUAUAACUCAUCCGGCUGCGAAGGCUGCAGAGGGAAUUAGUGAACGGCUUCAAGUGUUCCUUUUCAUUUAUAGUGUAGCACUUGGGAGCCGAGAUGGAUGCAGGAUACAGACACAGACAUGGUUGGGAUUUUACUGAUUUUAUUUGUAUGGGUUGAAACUUAUGCUUAUGGUUUUUAACUUUGACUUUUGCUGAACAUAUAUCAGGCAUAACACGUGGAAAAUAACAGGCUUGUACAAUUACUGAGGCAUGCAAGACAGUGAAGGUCUAAUUCUGCCAAGAGAAGCUGGGCUCAGCCCUGAGCUGAUUGUCCUCUGGGUCCCUCUGCUCUGCUGGUGAAAGCUUUGACUUUGACCUUCUGAGCCCUGCAGCACAGAAACCAGUGUGGAUACUGUGGCCUCUGACCUGAGCAGAGUUCAGAUAUACAAGCGAAUAGCAACUGUUCCCUGGGACAAGCUCUCUGGAUAAGCCUUACCUGAAUUCUGAGCCUGAAUUGUUGCUAUAACCAGGGGCUCAUUUUCUGAAGUGCCCCAGUUACCAAUGGAAACCCAUUGAGAAGCUUCAGCAGUCAUGGGAACUGGAUUAUCCCUCAGCAGUGCUCACUUUUCUUCAUGUUGUGACCCACAUAGAAGGGGAUAAAGACAUCCUUCUUCAAGCAGACUUCAUCUGAAUGUAUGCCAGGACACAGGGCUACACACGACUUACACCCUUUCCAGCGAGGACUAUGAAUUGUGAAUUUGUCAAACAUACAAAACUGCAGAGGCUCUGGAAUGUUCUGAGGACUAUCUUCGUAAUAUUUGGUAUGGCAGCUACUAUCCUACUGCUGUUUUCUCUCAGAACUUUGCUGUUUAAAGCUAAACCAUUCCAUCUGUUCUCUCUUACAAAAUGAUGCAGAAACUCUCUCACCUGCCAUAUUCCAACCUCCUCACCCAACCAGAUCCCAUAUACCGUUCACAAGGGUCUAGCCAGAAGAAUCUAAAUGACUGUCCCUUCCACGCAUCUCAGCCACUCCUCAGAUCUAGACAGGUUCCACAUCCAUUUCCUCAUCCACAUCUGGGCACCUUCGCUAUCAUGGCUCUCAACCUCUAGGCUCUGGUCAAGACACAUUCCAUUAAUAUCCAACUUACUGGUCCUUCAUGGACAAUAUAUUUUUCAGUUUCUCAGAUCUUGAACAUCUUGUGCUAAGGUCUAGCAAGAUGAGUCAGCCUGAUUCUCCCUUAAGCACAGCCUCCGUAGUCCCCAGAAUAAUUCCCAAACUCCAAGCUUAGACUAGUUCACACAGCAUGCACUGUCAACUCCCUGUGUACACCUUUAUUCUGCAUAAGUCAUUUCCAAUCUUCAGUCUCUACCCACCCCAUUCAUCCUGUGUUCUACCCUAACCUUUUUUGUUCCUAUUAGACACAGAACUAACAAAGCAAUUCCCAAAUAUCCUGGUCUCAUUGCAAAAAUAUAAACAAUAUGAAAUAUCAAGGUAGUACCCAUGCCCCCAAAUUCACCAGUCCUGUAGAAAUGUUCACUAGUGAUAAUUACCUAGACAAAUCCAAGGGCACAGAAUUUAAAAGAACAAUUAUAAAAGUCAUCAAAGAAUUCAAGGACUUUAAAUAAAACACAAAGAAAUAUCUAAA